GUGUUUCCACAGCAUGAAUAUGAUAUAUGGCCACCAGCUGGAAAGGAACGAAAACGUUCAAUAACCAAAAAUCCCAAAAUUGGAGGUUUGCCUCUGAUUCCUAUACAGCAUGAGGGGAAUGCAACCUUGGCCCGGAAAAAUAUCGAGAGAGACCCUUGUGAGCAUACAAGCUCUCAUUUGGAAGCCUCGGGAAGCCAUAUGGUUGGAGCAGGUAUGAAUUGGAAUCUUGACAGAACAUCAUCAAAACUGCCCACAACCUCAAUUCAGCUCAGUCCCAUUGGAUCAGGAUCAUCAGCCUCCUCUUUGCCAAAAGAUGGAAAGGUAUGAACUGUUCUAACAGCAAGCGCUAGAGCAGUGGUCCAGAAAAUGGUGGGUAACAAUGUGUCUCACUGUCACUGUUUUGGAGAUUUUGCUGAACUUGGUGAACUUGCUCUACUCUGGCCUGGACAGAAAAGAAAAGAAAAGCUUACACUUCUUGGUUUCCUUGUUCUGCCUUCCUAUUGUGAUGGGAAAAGACAACAUAGAGUAGAAAUUAACAAAAGAAUCUCUGGAGUGAGGCAUUCUGAAAUUUUACUGAAGCUCUAAAACUUAACAGCUAUGGAAAUGGUAUAUGAUACAUCAGCAAAAUGCCGCUGUGCAGGAACAGCAUCCCUUGAGUGAUUGUGGUCUUCCUUGUAACUUCACUACUUAUUCUACUACUGAACCAAGCAUAAUUAAAGAUGAAAACAAGUGAACAGUAUUGUGAUAAAGAGUUCUUCCAUGGAAGCGGAAUUGCUGGUUUGGAGGAUAUGUGCAUAUUUAUUCCUGAGAUUUUGUCUUCUCCUAUUUGGAACCCAUAUACCAUAUGUGAAGAAUCCCAGCCUACCUUGCUGGAGAAAGAUAUAACUUGUGAAGAAGAAAAUGGAUGUCACAGCCAACUGCCAGACAUCUGAAUAAGGUUACCUUGGAUCACUGAGCCCCAGUCAAACCAUCAGAUAAACACAACUGCCUGAAUGAUCCCAAAGAAGAACAGAACUUCUUAUCUGCGCAUAGCCCAAAUUGCUCAUCCUCAGUACUGAAAGAGCCGAGGUCAGAAUGAGAAACACAUCCCCACAGGAGUUCUGACCAUCAGUAACAUGAAUUAGCUGGUGUGCACUCUGCUCUGUAACCCUGGAAUCUCCUUUCUACUCGGAGGGAACCAGAGGUACAGCAUGAAGAAGUAUGCCCUUUGGAAAUGUAAAUGAAUACAGUUAAGAGGCUACACCACCCUUUAAAAGAGUUCUUCUGAUCUCUUAGGAGCUUUACAUUUUGAAGAACAUGGAUGGAUGAGAAACUUGAUGUGGAUUAGAGAAGGACUCCUUCUGUCACCCAGGCUGAGGUGCAAUGGCCUGAUCACAGUUCACUGCAGCCUUGAAUUCUUAGACUCAAGCUACUCAUCCACCUCAGCCUCCCAAGUAGCUGGGACUACAGGCUCACACCACCUCACCUGGGGUCUGGCUCUGUUGCCCGGUCUGGAGUGUGAUGGCAAAAUCAUGGUUCACUGCAACCACUACCUCUCAGGCUCAAGGGGUCCUCCCACCUCAGCCUUCCUAGUAGCUGGGACCACAGGUGUAUGCCACCACACCCAGGAAUGGUGAUGGUAUUCUUUUAUCCACUUUGAGAGAAACUUUGAGAAUGUGAACAGCCACAAAUUUAGAAGUUUCUUUUUUGCUUUGCUAUAUACAUGGACAAUAAUCCUGUACCUUGCCUGUGAUCUUCCAGAACACAGAUUGGGUUUGUUAUCAGUUAUAUUGAUGGGUUGUCCUCAGAUGGUUGAAGACUGAGGCUGCAGGGAUGAUUGAAAUCUGUAGGCGGAAGAGACAACUGCAAUUCCUGGAGGUGUUAGAACUCUGCAGUGUUUUGGAGGUCUGGUGCUGCCAUUUAUAUUUCUCUUCCCUGGAACUCUUUCUUCAUAACAGAUUUUGAACUAAAAAUAAAGAAAAUCUCCCA
rnacentral:sRNA from 1 species